UACGUAGGGUGCAAGCGUUGUCCGGAAUUAUUGGGCGUAAAGAGCUCGUAGGCGGUCUGUCGCGUCUGCUGUGAAAACUCGGGGCUUAACCCCGGGCCUGCAGUGGGUACGGGCAGACUAGAGUGCGGUAGGGGAGACUGGAAUUCCUGGUGUAGCGGUGAAAUGCGUAGAUAUCUGGAGGAACACCGGUGGCGAAGGCGGCAUCCUGGACCGGCAUUGACGCUGAGGCGCGAAAGCCAGGGGAGCAAACGGG
rnacentral:rRNA from 1 species